rnacentral:RNase_P_RNA from 1 species
GCGGUGAGUCAGGCUGCCGUCCGGCCGCCUGCAAAGAGGCGGCCGGGAGGAAAGUCCGGGCUCCGUAGGGCAUGAUGCCGGGUAACACCCGGGCGGAGGGCUCGCAAGCGUCCUCCGACAGAAAGCGCAACAGAAAAGAUACCGUCCGGUGGAAUUUUGGGACCGUUGAGCCCCUGAAAACCUCGGGAUAAGGGUGAAAUGGCGGGGUAAGAGCCCACCUCGGCGGCGGUAACGCCGCCGGAAAAACGGCAAACCUCAUCAGGAGCAAAGUCAAGCAGUAACAGGGCGGCCCGCCUAUUGUUACGGGUAGGCUGCUCGGGUAAAACCCGGGACACCGUUCGUAAGACCGGUGCAAGAUAGAUGGCUGCCACGGUUUUUUACCGACAAAACCCGGCUUACGGCUCACCGUUUUU